GAUGAACGCUGGCGGCGUGCCUAAUACAUGCAAGUCGAGCGAACAGACGAGGAGCUUGCUCCUCUGACGUUAGCGGCGGACGGGUGAGUAACACGUGGAUAACCUACCUAUAAGACUGGGAUAACUUCGGGAAACCGGAGCUAAUACCGGAUAAUAUAUUGAACCGCAUGGUUCAAUAGUGAAAGACGGUUUUGCUGUCACUUAUAGAUGGAUCCGCGCCGCAUUAGCUAGUUGGUAAGGUGACGGCCUACCAAGGCAACGAUGCGUAGCCGACCUGAGAGGGUGAUCGGCCACACUGGAACUGAGACACGGUCCAGACUCCUACGGGAGGCAGCAGUAGGGAAUCUUCCGCAAUGGGCGAAAGCCUGACGGAGCAACGCCGCGUGAGUGAUGAAGGUCUUCGGAUCGUAAAACUCUGUUAUUAGGGAAGAACAAAUGUGUAAGUAACUAUGCACGUCUUGACGGUACCUAAUCAGAAAGCCACGGCUAACUACGUG
rnacentral:rRNA from 1 species